CCUACGGGGGGCUGCAGUCGAGAAUCAUUCACAAUGGGGGAAACCCUGAUGGUGUGACGCCGCGUGGGGGAAUGAAGGUCUUCGGAUUGUAAACCCCUGUCAUGUGGGAGCAAAUUAAAAAGAUAGUACCACAAGAGGAAGAGACGGCUAACUCUGUGCCAGCAGCCGCGGUAAUACAGAGGUCUCAAGCGUUGUUCGGAAUCACUGGGCGUAAAGCGUGCGUAGGCUGUUUCGUAAGUCGUGUGUGAAAGGCGCGGGCUCAACCCGCGGACGGCACAUGAUACUGCGAGACUAGAGUAAGGGAGGGGGAACCGGAAUUCUCGGUGUAGCAGUGAAAUGCGUAGAUAUCGAGAGGAACACUCGUGGCGAAGGCGGGUUCCUGGACAUUAACUGACGCUGAGGCACGAAGGCCAGGGGAGCGAAAGGGAUUAGAUACCCCAGUAGUC
rnacentral:rRNA from 1 species